ensembl:miRNA
GAGGUGGGAGGAUCACCUGAGCCUGGAGAGGUUGAGGCUGCUGUGAGCUGUGAUCAUACCACUGCACUCCAGCCUGAGUGACAAGAGUGAGACCCUGUCUCA